rnacentral:tRNA from 1 species
GCCUGGAUGGCUCAGUCGGUUGAGCGUCCGACUCUUGGUUUCGGCUCAGGUCAUGAUCUCACUGGUUCGUGGGUUCGAGCCCCGCACCGGGCU